rnacentral:rRNA from 1 species
UGGGGAAUAUUGGACAAUGGGCGGAAGCCUGAUCCAGCCAUGCCGCGUGUGUGAAGAAGGCCUUUUGGUUGUAAAGCACUUUAAGCGAGGAGGAGGCUACUAGUACUAAUACUACUGGAUAGUGGACGUUACUCGCAGAAUAAGCACCGGCUAACUCUGUGCCAGCAGCCGCGGUAAUACAGAGGGUGCGAGCGUUAAUCGGAUUUACUGGGCGUAAAGCGUGCGUAGGCGGCUAAUUGAGUCGGAUGUGAAAUCCCCGAGCUUAACUUGGGAAUUGCAUUCGAUACUGGUUAGCUAGAGUGUGGGAGAGGAUGGUAGAAUUCCAGGUGUAGCGGUGAAAUGCGUAGAGAUCUGGAGGAAUACCGAUGGCGAAGGCAGCCAUCUGGACUAACACUGACGCUGAGGUACGAAAGCAUGGGGAGCAAACAGG